AAAGAGGCGUGGAAAUUUGGUAAGGAUACGUCCCAUAGGAAAUAAGAAAGGCAAUAAAUAGAAAGGGCGUCGCGAAGGACGGUCAAAGCAGAUAGUAAAUGUUCGUACAAAAUAGUCAGUGUUUUACAGAUUACCCAGAAGGGUAUCGAUAGCCGCGAUUGCCCGACGCCGGAUCUGAUCGGCAGAGUCCAGGACCCGUUGGUCUUCAUCCGCCG
rnacentral:lncRNA from 1 species